UUCAUAACCACGUGAAUACUUUGCCCUUAGGCGGAAAAUACUCUCGGAAAACGGAGAAUAAUCCUCCAUAGAUAUAGGAUGCUGGAUUGCAUAUGGAUCGAAAGUUCGGGGGCUUAAGAAUGAUUCUGGGUCCAUUCAGGUGGUAGUCAGGGUACAGACCUAAUUACCGUACACGGAAUCCGGUUUGUAAAACCAAUACCCCGAAAUCGAUUUCUAAGCCCGAAUAUCGGGCCUAACGGGUGCCACCAGGCGGGACACUUUCCCACUGUGGGAAACCGCAAUGAGGGAAUCCCAAGUGUAUCCUCGUAAGAGUACUGUCCUUCUUAUUUUAAAUCGCAGAUAAACUAAGGCCUGGCUAAGCCGGUUCCCACCCCCCCCGGUAAUCCGUCCACCUCAAGUGUAGAUCAUUAUUAUUGGUCUUAAAACUUCGGAACCCGCUUUAGUAAUCCCCUGGGUAAUUCGUCCAGUUUACCUACAGGAUUUCAAGGUAGACUGUCAAACUUGAGACCGGAAGAGGCUAGAGGUACUCCAGGGGUAGAAGUGAAAUUUUGUAAUCCUAGGGGGACCACCAGUGGCGAAGGCGUCUAGCCAGAACGGGUCUGACGGUGAGGGACGAAACCCUGGGGCACAAACCGGAUUAGAUACCCGGGUAGUCCAGGGUGUAAACGAUGCUUGCUAGAUGUCAGUUGGGCUCCGACCCCAUCUAGUGUCGUAGAGAAAGUUGUUAAGCAAGCCACCUGGGAAGUACGGUCGCAAGGCUGAAACUAAAG
rnacentral:rRNA from 1 species